GCAGUCGUGGCCGAGUGGUUAAGGCGUCUGACUAGAAUAUGAUCCGCCAUCUAGCUAUCAGAUUCCCUCUGGGAGCGUAGGUUCGAGUCCUACCGACUGCG
rnacentral:tRNA from 1 species